rnacentral:rRNA from 1 species
CCCUUAGAUGUCCGGGGCUGCACGCGCGCUACACUGAAGGAAUCAGCGUGCUAAAACCAUUGUCGAAAGGCAUUGGUAAACCCAUUAAAAUCCUACGUGAUUGGGAUCGGGAAUUGCAAUUAUUUCCCUUGAACGAGGAAUUCCCAGUAAGUGUGGGUCAUAAGCUCGCGUUGAUUACGUCCCUGCCCUUUGUACACACCGCCCGUCGCUGCCCGGGACUGAGCCGUUUCGGGAAAAGCGGGGACUGCUGCUGUCGGGGCUUUCGGGCCUUGGCUUCGGUGGAAACCGCUUUAAUCGCAGUGGCUUGAACCGGGCAAAAGUCGUAACA